UUCAUCUAUGGCUAUCCAUCUGGUUACAAACCUAGACCGAGGAAUAAUUCUACUUAUUCCAACAAUAACAUUGUUGUUAAUCAAGUAUCAAACCAGUCAUUCUCUAAUUCUACCGUCAAGACUGAUCAACUAGGUGGUGUUGGAGAUUUCAUUCAAAAUCUUAAUCUUAAUUAAUAUCAACAACUUAUGUCCAUGUUUUCUGCUCAUUCACCUUCAUUUUUUAAACCAAAUAAUGACCAUCAAGAUGCUCCGACUGCUUCUUAUAGCAUAGAUAUUUGUUUUUCAAUUUCCCCAAAUCCUAUAUUUUCAUCCACUCAAUUUUGGAUGGGUGAUUUAAGUGCCACAAGACAUAUGUGUUGUAGUGUUACAACCUUUGUUUCUCUGAGACCUAUACAAAAUUCUACUAUUACUUUGCCCAAUCAUAUUCAAAUUCCAGUUAGUUUCUGUGGUGAUGUUACACUAAGUUCCAUGCUCACCCUCAAUGAUGUCCUAUUUGUUCCCCAGUUCAAGUUUAACUCGAUUUCCAUGAGUGCUCUUACUUGUGGUUCACAACUUACAGUUAGUUUUCUUCCUGAUUGCUUCAUUAUUUAGGAACUCAACACCAAGAAAAUGAUUGGCAAGGGUGACAAGCUUGAAAAUCUUUAUAUUCUUGAUACAAAUACAUUGAAGCUAUUAAAUUUCCACAUUGGAGAGCUGCUAUGAAGGUUGAAUUAGAUGCUAUGGAACUCAAUAAAACAUGGUCAGUUGUUUUUUCACCUAAAGAGAAGCAUUUUAUUGGUUGUGAGUGGAUUUACAAAGUUAAGUAUAAAUCUGAUGGCUUUAUUGAAAAACAUAAAGCCCGGUUAGUUGCUAAGGGCUAUACUCAACAAGAAGACUUGGAUUUGAAAUUGCUCAAUUUGUCUCAAUUAUUGUCUUAUCUCAAAGACAUUGCUCACUUCAACUCCUUGAAGACACUGGGUAUCUUGCUUGUAAGCCUACAUCUAUUCCUAUGGAUCCUAAGGUUCAGCUCAAUGCUCAUGAUGAUGUUAUUCUUUCUGAUAUUUCACAAUACCGAAGGCUUAUUGGUCGUCUUCUCUAUCUCACCUUGUCUUGACCUGAUAUUACUUUUGUUGUCCAUAAACUUAGUCAAUUUUUUGCUCAACCUAGGUUACCUCACUUACAAGCAAUUCAUCAUCUUUUACGCUAUCUUAAGUCCACUCCUGGUGAGGGCCUUUUCUUCUCUUCUUCAUCUUCUCUCCAAUUGAAAGCUUUUUCAAAUGAUAAUUAGGGCUCUUGUUUAGAUACUAGAAAAUCUGUCACUGGUUUUUGCAUAUUUAUUGGUGAUUCUUUGGUCUCUUGGAAAGCUAAGAAGCAAACCACAGUUUCUCGAUCCUCUAUAGAGGCUAAAUAUAGAGCUUUAGCUUCUACUACUAGUGAAUUGGUUUGGCUAUGCCAAUUGCUGAAGGAUUUUCAAGUUCCUAUUUUCUUUCCUGCACUUUUUAUUUUGUGAUAAUCAAACUUCAAUUCAUCUUGCAUCUAAUUUUUUUUUUUCAUGAGAGGACCAAACAUAUAGAGAUCGAUCGUCAUUUUGUUCAUGAUAAAGUUGCCAAUGGUUUCAUCAAGCUAAUGCAUCUUCACUCUCAACAUCAACUAGUUGAUGCUUUUACCAAAGCUUUGCCGCCUUCUUAGUUGUUUCCUUUUUUUUAUCCAAGAUGGCUAUAAAGGACAUUCACAAUCCAUCUUAAGGGGGAGUAAUAGGUCAUGUACAUAUUUUGUUUGUUGUAACUUUUUUUUUUGUUAGUUUUCUUGUUACAUCUGUUAUUGAGCUGUUACUAAGCUCUUAUAUAGCUUUAGUCUAUGUUGUUUUAGUUCAAUUUUGGUUCAAUAAAAAGAAUUUUCUCUUUUUCCAUUUCCUUGCUUUCAGCUUAAUAAAUUGUGUGCUUUGGUUUUUUUAUUCAAAUCUCAUUUGUUUUGAUUCUGUAUUUUAUAUGUUAGGGAAUUGAAUUGGUGUUUGCUUGACUUUGAUUUAAACCGUCAAAGUUGAAGUUGUAAUCAAGUGAUUUUGUACAAUAAAUAGAUUGCAUUCUCUCCAUUCAA